GAUGAACGCUGGCGGCGUGCCUAACACAUGCAAGUCGAACGGACUCGAUUCUUAGGAUGAGAGUUAGUGGCGCACGGGUGAGUAACACGUAGGUGACCUACCCCAGAGCGGGGGACAACUUCUCGAAAGAGAAGCUAAUACCCCGUAUGUUCAAUCAUUCGUUUGAUUGAGUAAAGCUCCGGCGCUCUGGGAGGGGCCUGCGUCCGAUUAGCUAGUUGGUGGGGUAAUGGCCUACCAAGGCGAUGAUCGGUAGCUGGUCUGAGAGGACGAUCAGCCACACUGGCACUGACACACGGGCCAGACUCCUACGGGAGGCAGCAGUGAGGAAUAUUGCGCAAUGGGCGAAAGCCUGACGCAGCAACGCCGCGUGGAGGAUGAAGGCCUUCGGUCGUAAACUCCUUUCUGGGAGAGGAGACAAGGACGGUAUCCCAGGAAUAAGUCUCGGCUAACUACGUAG
rnacentral:rRNA from 1 species